rnacentral:lncRNA from 1 species
UCUGUCACAAUCUUGCGAGGAGGGGAGAGAGAAGAAGGGGUGAGAGGCAGAAACCCUGCCGCGCUCGCCGCCUCUUUUGUCUGCUCCGGGACUCGGACAAAAGGGGGAACUCUGAUGAACUCUCCCUCCUCCCCUCGCCCCGGACGCCCGGGUCUCUCCCGCUCGCAACUUUGCCGCGGCCACUUUCUCUGCUGUCAGGCCGCAGGAAAGGGUGCGAGCGCUUCGCGGGCGGCAACGAGGGAAUCGGGUCUCUUCCAAGUGCGCCGGAGUGGGCGAGAAGGUGUAAUUACUGUCAGCCACUGAGGACAUCACGCAGUUGCUGGAGUACUUCCUAGUGCUGAACUUCAUCCUGCAUUGUUUUUACUGGAUCUAUCAGCAAACGAUACGGAAAGUGCCCGUAUGACGUCAAAUCACCCCUGGGUGGAAGUUCCUCAAGGUUCUUCCUUUGGAGUUACUUAGCAGUUCAGUAGUUGGGAUUUUUUUGAAGAUGCCUUUCCUAUGUGGAUUAUUACAAUGUGAUGACCGCGAGCUCGCCACCUUCCAGAAGACUAUUUUGAUGUCUGGAAACUCAUGCCCACCUCUGUCUGACCUGGGGUCCAAAUUAACUUUGCUCACAGUCGUACUUGGAGAGUUACAGACCACUGGGAUGUCCUCAGGUGAAAUGUCAUGUGUGAAUCAUGGUGCUACGAUGAGAGUUGGUGAUUUAUGGCUUUGGAGGGCAUGCGUGUGUAUGAUUAAGGGAUGCCUUUCGUCAAGACCACCCGUCAAAACAGGAAGAUAA